UUUGAAAAACGUCAGCAGCAUUCUAAAAAAGACCGAUGCAUCCCAGAGAAAACAGCAGCAACAUUUAGAAAACCCGUGGCGGAAAUAGAAUUUUGUGGCGGGGACGGAUCUGUUGAGGCGCUUCAGUUUCAUUCAGUAUUAUGCAAUUUAUAUACGGUAUUGUUAAAAAGGCAUGUAUUAUCCAUUCUGUGGCCAAAUACUGCAGUCUGACCUAUCGUGCAUGUGAACUUUGUGAUGAAGAUAUCACCUUUCUUAGAAAUGUAGCUGAAAGCCACAAUGCAACUGAAGGGCAGCAACAGAGUGCAUCUUCCAGCAAUCUUCAGUCUCUCAUUGGACAUUAUUUACAACAAGGACAUUCAUAUAAGGUUAUUUUAGAUUUCCUCUCCCAGUACCACAAUGUAACUCUCAGCAUUCGUUCUCUCAAGUCAAAGCUGAAAGAUUUGGGUCUAAGCAGAAACAAUAAUUAUGCUUUUGAAAGAGAGGUAGUUUUGGCUAUCAGGAAUGAGCUGAGGGGGCCUGGACAAUUAUUUGGUUACAGAAAUAUGUCUUGAAACACAAGUAUAGGCUUUGUGUAAGAAGAGACACUGUUAUGAGACUGCUUCCACAGCUGAAUCCCACAGGUUAUGAGUCACGAAGAACAAGGAGCUUUAUUCAGAGAGCAUAUCACUCACUUGGACCAAAUUUUACCUGGCAUGUAGAUGGCUAUGAUAAAUUGAAGCCAUUUGGAUUUGCCAUCAGUGGGUGCAUUGAUGGAUUUUCCCGACGCAUUAUGUGGCUAAAGUGCGGUCCAAAUAACAGUAAUCCAAAAGUUCUUGCCCACACCUAUGUGGAAUGUGUGUGGUCUAUGGAGGUCCUUCCCACGAGAAUAAGAACAGACUGUGGGAGUGAAAAUGGCAUAAUGGCUGCUAUGCAGUGCACACUGCAAAACCAAAGUGAUGAGCAUUCUGGAGAUGCAAGCCACUUGUAUGGUUCAUCACAGUUAAACCAACGUAUUGAAAGUUGGUGGGCAAUCAGAAAAGGAAGAGCUCAAUUUUGGAUCUGUCUGGCGAUCUUCGGGACUUUGGAAAGUUCAAUGGGAGCCAUGAACACCAGUGCCUUUUGCGCUAUUGUUUCAUGGCUUUGCUUCAGGAUGACUUGGAUGAGUGUUCAGUACUCUGGAAUCUUCAUCGGAUUAGACCCUCACGACUCUGUCAAUCCCCAGGAGGAAUACCAGAUGAACUCUAUAGACUUCGGUUAUAUCGGUUUGGCUUUCAAGAUUGUUGAUUUGCUGUGGAUUUGGGUAAACUUCAGCAAUUAUCACCAUUGCACACCACUGUGAAUCAGUGUGGGGAUGAAGACCUGGAAAUGCACUUUAAUAUUAAAGCCAGAGAACAUGCCCUUGAAAUGCCACAGAAUACUAACCAGGCACUUCACAUGUACAUGACUUUUUAUGUGGAUUAUAAAAUGUUUUGCUUUGUAGCAGUGUACUGACCCAUGAUUUUAAUCCAUUGAUUUCUUAAAGAAUGCCAGAGUUUGUUCUAGAGACCCCUGAUGAGCAGUGUCGUUGUCUGUCCAUCAAGAGAUAUACAUUAAAAAUACUGAAAUUUUAGAAACAAAAAAUUCUGACUUUUACAUUGAUAUCUAUGAAUGUCCAUGUAGCAUAAACAAAAAAAUGGUGUAGUGUUAAGAGUUAUUACUAUGUGAGGUAUUACUGCAAUUCACUAAUCACAAGUGGAUACAUGGAUGAACUUUCAAAUGGAAAAUGUUUGCUUUUGUUUAUUAUUUCCUAAAUAUCCAAAAAAUACAUAAUCUGCUUUAUUUUGACAGUAGGAUUCUAGUGAACAGUGGAUCAUCAAACUAUAAGUUUAACACUUACCACUAUUUUUUUAUUAGCUUUGUCAAACUCAAUUCCUGGAGGGCCUGUUGGUUUUCAUUCCAGCUUAUGCUCUUAAGUAGUUUAUCUAAUUAUUUACUCAAUUUGACAUUUUUAAAUUUUUGCAAGGUAUUUUAAAUGUGAUAAUUUAAGAUGUGUGCUUCAAUUGUGGUGCAGUUGCUAAUAAACAAAAUAGGUGUAAUGGGCCUAAAUAGGUGUUAAAUGUAUCCAGCUAAUUAAUUAAAUCACAAAGGGAUUGGUUGGUAACAAAAACCAGCAGAUGCUACGGCUCUCCAGGAACAGUUUGACUCCGCUGCUUUAAGGUAUAAAAGUUAAAAUUUAGAUAACCUUGCUUACAGAACAGGUAGACAAAUCUGUCCCGUAUAACACUGUAGUUUUUUUUUUUUUUUUUAAAUUGUAGUACUGUAGCUAAGUUUGUCACAGGUUGUUAUUUGCAUUUGUUUGUUUGAUUUAUCUCUUCUGAUAUUUAGCAAGUAAAAGUUUGCAUGGUUUUUAAACUUUAUUAAUUUAUGAAGUAUUUGCCUGUAUUCAUGAAAGGGUUUACACCAAUAUACUAUUUCCACAUGUACAAAUAAAUUGUAAAUAAACUAAACUACUACAUCAACUACUACUACUUUAAAUCAAACUUAUCUCCCUGGUGCUCACGUGCAUUUUAUUUAACUUAAUGUCAGGCAUUGCUAAUUGAUGUAAACCCUUUCAUGAAUAGAGCCCAUUACAUGUUAACUGUAAUACGUUUAAGAAAAAAUAAUCAAUGUCGAACAUGCAUUUUUUGUUUUGGAAGGUGGUGAUGGUGGGUAUUCUAUGAACAUCAGGUUUUGUGCGUUUAUUUCCCCUGAUCAGAUUUAUGAUGUACUUUGGAGUUUCAGGUGAAGCAAUAAACAUUUCAAAAGAAAA